UACGUAGGGUGCAAGCGUUAAUCGGAAUUACUGGGCGUAAAGCGUGCGCAGGCGGUGAUGUAAGUCAGAUGUGAAAGCCCCGGGCUUAACCUGGGAACUGCAUUUGUGACUGCAUAGCUAGAGUGCGGCAGAGGGAGAUGGAAUUCCGCGUGUAGCAGUGAAAUGCGUAGAUAUGCGGAGGAACACCGAUGGCGAAGGCAAUCUCCUGGGCCUGCACUGACGCUCAUGCACGAAAGCGUGGGGAGCAAACAGG
rnacentral:rRNA from 1 species